rnacentral:rRNA from 1 species
CGGCGGCCGUAACUAUAACGGUCCUAAGGUAGCGAAAUUCCUUGUCGGGUAAGUUCCGACCUGCACGAAUGGCGUAAUGAUGGCCACACUGUCUCCACCAGAGACUCAGUGAAAUUGAAAUUGCGGUUAAGAUGCCGUAUACCCGCGGCUAGACGGAAAGACCCCGUGCACCUUUACUACAGCUUCACACUGGACUUUGAAUCUAUCUGUGUAGGAUAGGUGGGAGGCUUUGAAACCGAGACGCUAGUUUCGGUGGAGCCAACCUUGAAAUACCACCCUGGUAUAUUUGGAGUUCUAACCUAGAUCCGUUAUCCGGAUCAGGGACAGUGUGUGGUGGGUAGUUUGACUGGGGCGGUCUCCUCCCAAAGAGUAACGGAGGAGCACGAAGGUACCCUCAGCGCGGUCGGAAAUCGCGCAAUGAGUGCAAAGGCAUAAGGGUGCUUGACUGCGAGAUAGACACAUCGAGCAGGUACGAAAGUAGGUCUUAGUGAUCCGGUGGCUCUGUAUGGAAGGGCCAUCGCUCAACGGAUAAAAGGUACGCCGGGGAUAACAGGCUGAUACCGCCCAAGAGUUCAUAUCGACGGCGGUGUUUGGCACCUCGAUGUCGGCUCAUCACAUCCUGGGGCUGAAGUCGGUCCCAAGGGUAUGGCUGUUCGCCAUUUAAAGUGGUACGCGAGCUGGGUUUAGAACGUCGUGAGACAGUUCGGUCCCUAUCUGCCGUGGGCGUUUGAGAUUUGAGGAAAGCUGCUUCUAGUACGAGAGGACCGAAGUGGACGAACCUCUGGUGUUCCGGUUGUCACGCCAGUGGCAUUGCCGGGUAGCUACGUUCGGACAGGAUAACCGCUGAAAGCAUCUAAGCGGGAAGCCCCUUCCAAGAUUAGAUCUCACCGACUCUUUUAGAGUCCUGAAGGGCCGUUGAAGACUACAACGUUGAUAGGCUGGGUGUAGAAGUACAGUAAUGUAUGAAGCUAACCAGUACUAAUUGCCCGUGAGGCUUGACCAU